rnacentral:tRNA from 1 species
GGGCGUGUGGCGUAGUUGGUAGCGCGCUCCCUU